GACGAACGCUGGCGGCGUGCCUAAUACAUGCAAGUGGGACACAAGGAAACACACUGUGCUUGCACACCGUGUUUUCUUGAGUCGCGAACGGGUGAGUAACGCGUAGGUAACCUGCCUAUUAGCGGGGGAUAACUAUUGGAAACGAUAGCUAAUACCGCAUAAUAUUAAUUAUUGCAUGAUAAUUGAUUGAAAGAUGCAAGCGCAUCACUAGUAGAUGGACCUUCGUUGUAUUAGCUAGUUGGUAAGGUAAGAGCUUACCAAGGCGACGAUACAUAGCCGACCUGAGAGGGUGAUCGGCCACACUGGGACUGAGACACGGCCCAGACUCCUACGGGAGGCAGCAGUAGGGAAUCUUCGGCAAUGGACGAAAGUCUGACCGAGCAACGCCGCGUGAGUGAAGAAGGUUUUCGGAUCGUAAAGCUCUGUUGUAAGUCAAGAACGUGUGUGAGAGUGGAAAGUUCACACAGUGACGGUAGCUUACCAGAAAGGGACGGCUAACUACGUG
rnacentral:rRNA from 1 species